GGUGACAAACCGGAGGAAGGUGGGGAUGACGUCAAAUCAUCAUGCCCCUUAUGAUUUGGGCUACACACGUGCUACAAUGGACAAUACAAAGGGCAGCGAAACCGCGAGGUCAAGCAAAUCCCAUAAAGUUGUUCUCAGUUCGGAUUGUAGUCUGCAACUCGACUACAUGAAGCUGGAAUCGCUAGUAAUCGUAGAUCAGCAUGCUACGGUGAAUACGUUCCCGGGUCUUGUACACACCGCCCGUCACACCACGAGAGUUUGUAACACCCGAAGCCGGUGGAGUAACCUUUUAGGAGCUAGCCGUCGAAGGUGGGACAAAUGAUUGGGGUGAAGUCGUAACAAGGUAGCCGUAUCGGAAGGUGCGGCUGGAUCACCUCCUUU
rnacentral:rRNA from 1 species